UGUGAGGGUGAUCUCGCCGUGACAUCUGUCACCCCUCUGAUGACCAGGUUUGAUUCGGCUGAUCUGGCUGGCUAGGCAGGUGUCCCCCUCCUUCCUCACCACACCAUGUGCGCUUGGUCGAAGAGAACGACCUUCCCCAGUAGAGGAGAAUUGUUCUUCGGUCACGGGUACACAGGUAGCUGCACAACCCUGCUAGAAUCUCCAAGCAGGCUCUCCAGGUCCAUUUGUAGGAGAACGAAGGGAAAUCAAGCUCCCAAGACUCCACACACAUCCAGAUGAGACACUGCAUGUAGCAGUCUGCUUUUCU
ensembl:misc_RNA 7SK 7SK RNA